rnacentral:rRNA from 1 species
CCAGCAGCCGCGGUAAUUCCAGCUCCAAUAGCGUAUAUUAAAGUUGUUGCAGUUAAAAAGCUCGUAGUUGGAUUUGUGGCUUACGGUGGGUUCCGGGCACUUGUUGUCUGAGCAACCUGCCGUUGCCAUCCUUGGGUGGAACCUGUGUGGCAUUAGGUUGUCGUGCAGGGGAUGCCCAUCGUUUACUGUGAAAAAAUUAGAGUGUUCAAAGCAGGCUUAUGCCGUUGAAUAUAUUAGCAUGGAAUAAUAAGAUAGGACUUUGUCGCUAUUUUGUUGGUUUGCGCGACGAGGUAAUGAUUAAUAGGGAUAGUUGGGGGUAUUCGUAUUCCAUUGUCAGAGGUGAA